rnacentral:rRNA from 1 species
AGUGAACGCUGGCGGUAGGCCUAACACAUGCAAGUCGAACGGCAGCACAGUAAGAGUUUGCUCUUACGGGUGGCGAGUGGCGGACGGGUGAGGAAUACAUCGGAAUCUACUUUUUCGGGGGGGAUAACGUAGGGAAACUUACGCUAAUACCGCAUAUGAUCUACGGGUGAAAGCAGGGGAUCUUUGGACCUUGCGCGAUUGAAUGAGCCGAUGUCGGAUUAGCUAGUUGGCGGGGUAAAGGCCCACCAAGGCGACGAUCCGUAGCUGGUCUGAGAGGAUGGUCGGCCACACUGGAACUGGGACACGGUCCAGACUCCUACGGGAGGCAGCAGUGGGGAAUAGUGGGCAAUGGGCGCAAGCCUGAUCCAGCCAUACCGCGUGGGUGAAGAAGGCCUUCGGGUUGUAAAGCCCUUUUGUUGGGAAAGAAAAGCAGCAGGUUAAUACCCCGCUGUUCUGACGGUACCCAAAGAAUAAGCACCGGCUAACUUCGUG